UGUUGCAGGGAAUCCUUGGAUUCUUGACUCAUCACAGAAGCUUACCUCUGUAGGUGAUUCGUUCACGGCCCAAUAUACAUGAAUGUGCAGGAGGGAAGUGAUCAAGAGUGGAGGCCGAGGUGUCAAUUCAAUCAUUGCAGCUGCAUAGAAGCUGCAGCAACAUCACACUCAGGGCCAUCAGACUGCCGUCUGCACCGCUGGAGGCAGCAGUCAUCGCCACGCUGCACCGAGAUGACGUAGGAGGAGACCUUCAUCACCGACGACUCAAGUGUGUGCCGUCAUAAAGGAUUAGUCAAAUAGAUUAACAAUUAAAGACACACGUCUUACUUUAACUGUUGAUCUAUCGCAUCAACUAUAACCUCUUUUCUUUAAAUUCUAAUUUAAUUUUUUUGUAUUUACAUUUUAUUCUUCCUGGUCCUGAUGUAAUUUAAGAUAAAUUUUGACUAGAUAUAUUUUUCCUGUUGACGGAAAUGUGUGAUGCGCUUCAUUUUGUUGUUUUUUUUUCACACACACAUAAAUCUUCGCAGCUGGAUUUUGUUUUUAGUUUGUCUGGCAAAUAUUAAAUAUUUUGGCCAAUACUUGACAGAGCUUUUCUUAUAUUCGGCUAACUUGUAGCCAGUUAAGGCUAAACUGUAAUUAUCCCUUACUUUUAACAUUUUUUUUAAAUGUUUACAUUUUUUAAAAUUACAUUUCCAUAUUAAAUGGUGAUUCUGGCUUAACAGCAAAAGUUGAAUACCGAAAAGCUGCGUCUCACUAAAUUAGGGUAAUUUUUCAGCCAACUUUGAGUGCAUUUUACUUAUUGUUAACUUUAUGUUCACACUAACGCUCCUUCUUCUCUCAGUCUACUCUCAGCCUGUUCCUACCACAGAGCAGAGUCAGAUUUGGAACUUUCUCUCUAAAAAGUCAGAGAGGGAGUUACCAAGCUACUGUUUCUCGGCCCACCACUGUCUCCAUUGUCUCCACUGAGCAGUUUGAAGCCUGGGGCAGGGAUGUCAAAAAAAGUGUGCAGCUCGGACACAAAAUGUCUGUGAGGAGAAGUGACAGGACGCCACCCUGUCUCCACAUUUAUCCAGGCAGUGGUUUGUAGGGGAGUAAGGAGCAGCCAGUCACUGGGCACUGACCCACAGCCAUAAUCUCAUUACCGUUAUCGCAGAAAUUACCUUAAAAACCCAACUUGGAUUCAACCUUUUGGUGCCUCGUUCAAUAUAAUAUAAUGUAAUAUAAUAUGGAUUACUUAAAGAUUAUUAUAUUUUAUUAUACUUUUUUUUACCACAUUAUAGUGUCUUUUGUAAUUUGAUAAGAAAUUAGAAAUUUAUUUAUGAAUUAAAACAAUUUUAUUUUGCUAAUAUAAUUUAUAGAGUGGCUAGAUAAUUAUUACAGGAGAAAUAAAGGCAUUAACUUAUACAUAUAUAUGUUGAUGCAAUUAUUUAAAGAGUCCUUUGUAUUAUUAAAAUGAUUGUUAAUUGAACCUAACUGUAAUGCAGCAUGGUCUAAGUGAACCUCAGAGAUCCAAGAGUUUGUAUUAAACUUUACCUAAUUAUGGAAUGUAUUCAUGAAUCUGUGAAUACCUGUGCAGGUCUGAUUCUGCUGCUCUUCCACUGAAGGGGCAGUUUGUCCAGAGCUGCAGCAGAAAAGGCUGCUGGGAGUCUGUGAACGUCCCACUCUCCUGUUUGAAGUGGUAGAUGAUUAAACGGGCUGUGACAGGUGUAAAAGCAACCUUUGUCAUUUUGGACAUUCAGCGACCUCGCUUCUUUUGGAUCGCCCACUGUGGAACGCCUCUCUCUCACCUGCACUGCUUGUACUGUGUGUUAAGGUCUGCUCAUGUGGUGUGUGUGUGUGUGUGUGUGAGAGAGAGAGAGAGAGAAGACAACACUUUGUUUAUGACAGCUUCACCACCAGCAACACAUUCUCUGUCAUUUUCUUAUGAUGAAUAUAUGACAAUUACAUUUAAAGAGUGUUUGCUCAGUUUUUGACCUCAAAAGAUUUUUUUUUCUUGUGCCAUUCUAUCCUGAAUGCAUAUUUUGGGAAACAAACCUACAAUUUAGGCCAAAUUUGGAAAAAGAAAUUGGUAAAUGUUGCAGUAGAAUUUGGGUUUUAGUUUGUUUUGUUUUUUUUCACUCCUAAUAUCACAUUUAUUGACAUUUUUUAAAAGAAAUACUAUACACUAAAUACCAGUAUUGAGGCACAAACUUAAAUUUUAGUGCAUUUUCUGAACUUUUUAUUUUUUGUAUUUUUGGUUGAGGUUAUUCCAAAGUAUUUUGGUCAAAUUUCGAGGCCCAAAAAAGACGUUUUUUAAAAGAUUGUUUAACUAAAUGCAUAUUUGAGAGCAUUUUUGGACAGAUUUGUUUGUUGUUGUAUUUGGACUAUAGUAAUAUUCAACUCAAGUUAUUUGGAUGAAAUUUUUUACUGUAAAUUGUUUUUGUAAAACUACCAGUCUAAAAAUCUACUCAAGUAAAAAGAAGAACAAUUAAAAUGAAAUAAAAGUAAAAGCUCCGUUUUUAACAGUGGAUGUUGAGGAGCUCCCUUAAGCGAUAUAAAUCUCAGUCUAGAUGUCUUUAUUUAAAAAUAGCUAAAUUAAUUGCUAACAAAGUAAAGCAUGUCGACACAUUUCAUUUAAAUCAUUUUGGAGGUAUGUGUUAUUUUAUUGCAGACCAUAAACAUACACAUAGGUUAAGCCAAGAGUACAGUGUUUAGCUACUUGGCACUGGUCCUUCGUGUCGGCCCCUUUUUUUUAUUCUCUUUAAGUAAGCGUGCAAGAGAGUCAUUAUAGUUAUGCACUCAAAAAAAACACUGUUGCAAUAAAAACAAUAGUAACAUUGAAACUCUGCUGCGGGAGCCCCGACCCACAGAGACGGACCAAUGAAGCUGUUUUUGCGGUGUUGGUACGUCACAAAGAUGAGGCAAAACAGGCCAAUGAAAAGGUACCGGCGUGUGACGUCAAAUGCUGAAAAAGUCCGCCAAGUGCUUUAGAAAGCCACAGGUGAACGGCGUUAUUCCUCAUUAGCAGAUCGACCUGAUCGGAGUGGACGGCUGAGAUAGAACGGUGAGCGACGGCUGGAUUUUUCUGCUCUACUACUGGCGUUUUGACUGUUGUUGUAUUGUUUGCUACGUAGCUUAAACUUCACUUAAGGUGGAAGAAAGUUUUAUUUUAAUUUUGCUGAAACUACUGAAAAAUGACAGAGCCUCGUGUU